GACGAACGCUGGCGGCGUGCUUAACACAUGCAAGUCGAGCGGUAAGGCCCUUUCGGGGGUACACGAGCGGCGAACGGGUGAGUAACACGUGGGUGACCCGCCUUUAGCUCUGGGAUAAGCCUGGGAAACUGGGUCUAAUACCGGAUACGACUCCGCGGUGCAUGCUGUGGGGUGGAAAGCCUUGUGCGGCUGGAGAUGGGCCCGCGGCCUAUCAGCUUGUUGGUGGGGUGAUGGCCUACCAAGGCGACGACGGGUAGCCGCCUGAGAGGGCGACCGGCCACACUGGGACUGAGACACGGCCCAGACUCCUACGGGAGGCAGCAGUGGGGAAUCUUGCGCAAUGGGCGAAAGCCUGACGCAGCGACGCCGCGUGAGGGAUGACGGCCUCGG
rnacentral:rRNA from 1 species